UGAGGAAUAUUGGUCAAUGGGCGCAGGCCUGAACCAGCCAAGUCGCGUGAGGGAAGACUGCCCUAUGGGUUGUAAACCUCUUUUAUAAGGGAAGAAUAAUGACUACGUGUAGUCAGAUGCCCGUACCUUAUGAAUAAGCAUCGGCUAACUCCGUGCCAGCAGCCGCGGUAAUACGGAGGAUGCGAGCGUUAUCCGGAUUUAUUGGGUUUAAAGGGUGCGUAGGCGGUAUUUUAAGUUAGUGGUAAAACGUCGGGGCUUCACCUUGAUUGGCCAUUAAAACUGGAGUACUAGAGUACAGACGAGGUAGGCGGAAUAAGUUAAGUAGCGGUGAAAUGCUUAGAUAUAACUUAGAACCCCGAUAGCGAAGGCAGCUUACCAGACUGUUACUGACGCUGAAGCACGAGAGCGUGGGUAGCGAACAGG
rnacentral:rRNA from 1 species